GGGCACUUUUUUUGCCCAGGGCAAAGGGGCAGGUGCUUGAGCACCACCUAGUGGGUAUGUGUGCACGUGACUGUUCCUUGGUGAAAGUUGAGAAGGAUGGAGUUGUCAGUGGUGAACUGUUAAGAUGUCAGACAUGACUCUACUGGUCUGGAUCUGAUGGCUAUGCAGGUCUCUGCUGAUUGGAAAUAAAUACAUGCUACUUUUUAAAAUAGGUUGUUAUUACAAAGAGGGUGAUGUCUAGCCACAAAUAUGGUCGUGCGCUAACAGUCAAUUGUUCGAACAGUCAUUGUUUCAACUAUGAUUACGGUAUACUUGUAAAAAUUUACAAGUUUACCUCAAUAUGGACACGCAAGCUGGUUUGACCUCAGUGAAGUUUUUAUGAAAGAUGUUGAAACUGCUGUCAGUUUUUUUCCUUCACUAUUACAUCAUUAUUACAUGUAUUUGCCUUGAUAUUGACACCCAAAUUGCUGAUGUAUAGAAAUUUUUGUGAUCAAAAUAUGUAGCUAUAAACCUUAUAAAGCUAUAAAUGUGUGUGGUAAUUAAAAAUAAGUUUAAAGAAUAAAACCAACUGUCUUCUACUGGUUCAGGUAGCUAAACCAGCUUGAGUACGAACUGUAUUUUGAUCCUUAGUAUAUUUCUGGGAGGAUGGCGCAAUGACCAAGUGAAACGAGGUGGUCAAAUUUACGUUAAUGCACGUUGGCAAAUCAGGCGGUAACAAGGUGACGACCUUAAAGCUGGAGACAAUAUCUACAUAGUCUGUGUGAACUGAGUGAAUUUGGCUGUACUGAGUGAAUUUGGCUGUCUCCACACAGAAACAUUUUUCAGAUUGGAACAUUUGCGGACUUUAUUUUUAUACAAUCAGUGUACAACAAGGCACCAUGGUAGUGCAACAAACAGUAUUACCCUGAAACCUGCUUUACGAAAAUAUGCAGAGUACAUUGCAUAAAAACUUGCAGUAAGAGCGGUUUUAUAAAGGGAGAAAAAAAAACUACUUAAAACUUGCAUGACAAUACCAGUUAAAGUUGUGUGUAACGACACCAAAAGUGCUUCUUUUGUCAACAACAAUGUGCAAAUGUAAUGUAAACAAUGUCAACUCAGUGUAAACAAGUAGUCACUUUGGCUGGUAUGAAUAGAGGUGUUUGACUCAACUUUCAGCGCAAGUGUAUAUAACAAUGCACCACAUAAAAGUGCAUAAUCAGACAAAAAUAAUCAUCUGAUCAUACCACAGUACAUUAUAAAAGACCCAAAAACACAUUCUGGACAAGGCAGCUACCAAACUGUCCAUCAAAUGCAACAGUAUCUCGGUUUAUCAAAGGUUUUUAACUAUUUAAAUUGAAAUACAGCUAAAAGAACAGCUGGCUUAACUUGCUAUCCUUCAGAUAGAUAGGGGAACAAAGAUGUGUUACAAUGAAAACUAAAUGAUGUUCAUCACCCACAUGUUUGCAUUAAGUAUACUAUCAAACUCCUCUGCCAACUCAGGGUAGGACCCAUAGUUGUUGGGCAACUCCAGAACACAGCCACAUGUAUGUGACAUUGGUCUCCUUGUAAAUGUAUUAUAUGGCUCGAAGAAUCGCACAUAGAUCUCCUGAGCCACUAAAAGAUCUGCAUCUUUGGACAAAAAAAAGAAAAGAAAAGAAAAGAUUAGUUCCACACCACAUACACCAACCAGUCCACACUCAACAACCCAUGUGGCUGUCACUUUCAAUUCAUGCUCUCUCAUUGUUGGUUUUGAUAGUUCUGUAUCCAUCAACUGACUAUAUGUGCAUAGACCCACACUAAAACAAAGUUUUUAAAGGGCCUAUAACAUGCGAUUUUAAGCCUUCCAAAGUGUCCCACUUCUUUCUUCUUAGUUAACUUCUUUCCUUCUAUGAUUUCCUGUACUGUGAGGUUCCGCCACCAAGUCUCCUCUCAGAAGACAAGGCCUUCAACCCUGUUCCUCUACCUGUACCUGACCACGACACCAAGAGACGGACCUGCUCUCAACCCCAGGAGACGUGGAUGAAGACAGAGCCGCAGGAUCUGGGGCCGUGGCCGGGAUGUCGCGUGGCGCGCAGAGUGGGCAACGCCGCCGCUUGAUGAGCAGCUCUCGUGGCACUCUCUGACCGAGGGCAGCCGGACGGCCAGCGUUCCGGCGUUGAAGAUGGAGCUGGCCAGCAGUGAUGGAUGGACAGUCGUUAAUGACUGUGUGCAUGCAUUUUUUGUGUGUGUGUAUACAUCCAUCCAUCCAUUUUCUGAGCCACUUCUCCUCACUAGGGUCGCGGGCGCGCUGGAGCCUAUCCCAGCUGUCUUCGGGCAGGAGGCGGGGUACACCCUGAACUGGUUGCCAGCCAAUCGCAGACAUCAGUGAAGAUCUUCGUCCUGAGCAGCAGGGCCCAGAGCCCCCUCACAUUAAAGAGGAAGUGGAGGCCGAAGAGGUCCACCGCAUCAAAGAGGAAGAGAAAUUGGAGCCCACUCCCAAUAAAAAAGAGGAUGUGGAAGAGCACCCCCACAUCAAACAUGAAGUGGAGGAGGACAUCACCAAGUUUCCAUCUACUGGUGUCCCUUUGAAGAGUGAAGAUGAAGGUCAAAGUGAGGAGAGCAGAGGGGCGGAGCCUCCAAGCAGCAGGUCAAGUCAACACAUGACAACAGAAGGUGAUGGAGACCACUGUGGAGGAUCACAAGCAGACGGACUCUUAGCUCCACUGUCAGAUUGUGAUGACACAACGUCACACCCUCCUCACACUGAUGAUGAUGAUGAUGGACACUGUGAAGGUGAUAUGACAUGUCACAUUGAAAACAAACAAUGGAAAUGUUCUCAGUGUAGGAAAACAUUUGGUUAUAAGAGCAAUUUGAAACAACACAUGAAAAUACACACGAGAGAAAGAUUUUGCCUGCUCUGUUUGUGGUCAAAGAUUCUCUUGCAAGGGAGAUUUAAAAAGACACACAAGAACCCACACUGGUGAGAAACCUUUUGCCUGCUCAGUGUGUGGUCAAAGAUUCUCUGAAAGGGGAAGCUUAAAAAGACACACAAGAACCCACACUGGUGAGAAACCUUUUUCCUGCUCAGUGUGUGGUAAAAGAUUCUCUGUCAAGAGAAACUUGAGAAACCACACAAGAACCCACACUGGUGAGAAACCUUUUGCCUACCCGGGUUGUGGUCAAAGAUUCUCUGAAAGGGAAAGCUUAAAAAGACACACAAGAACCCACACUGGUGAGAAACCUUUUUCCUGCACAGUGUGUGGUAAAAGAUUCUCUGUCAAGAGAAACUUGAGAAACCACACAAGAACCCACACUGGAGAGAAACCUUUUGCCUGCUCAGUUUGCCGUUAACGAUUCUCUCAUAAAUAUCAGGCUAAGACCCACAAGUGUGCUAUGAGAACAGCAGUGAUGAAGAAGCUUGAGAUGAAAAAAGUCAAUGGUUAAUAUCAAAGGAAAUGACUAUCAUACUGAAUUACAAAAAACUCCAAUCUUGGAUUCUGUCUGCCAUAUUUUAUUUUGUCAAUCCUUUAGUUUUCUUUGUAUAUUCCAAAAGCCUCCGAUGGACAAAUGUUGAGAAUUCCCACUGGUGCCAAAAUGCUUUUAUCCAAUGUUUUAAAAUGAGCAAAUGAUUUAUCAAACUAGAUUUUGAAGAGACUUUUAACUUUUGGUGAAAAUUUUGAAAAGUGUAAAUGGGAUCCUUAAUAAAAUACAAUUCUUCAAACUGUGA